UGGCUAGAUGCUAGGGUGGAGUAUGCGGCCGUGGAGAACAUCAUUGCGCCUAUUGGUCUCGUCGUCGGCUGCGAAGUGGAAUCCUUGCGAGUGUCGGCGCUAAACUGGGACUGCAGGACAGCAUCAACAGGGCUGAAGCUGGCCGAGGUCCAGUGCAUCGACAUUCUGGAUGUGGAUUACCAAUUUCUGUGAAGGUGAAGUGGCUUCGUAUCUGUGGAAGAAUAGAAAGGUUUUUAGUUUCUUUUCAGCCGCCGCCAUAAUCUGGAUUCUGGAGCUGCCGCCGUCCAUCCUCAGGUUCUCUGCUGGGGCCGUCAUUUGCCUGCGUAGCAGCUGCAUUAGCGCUACUGCGGCUGAUUUCCAUAUUGUGUGUUGCAAACGGAUUUCGCAGCCAGUUCUCGCGUCUGACUUGGAGCAAUAUUGAUUGGAUGGCUGUCAGGCUUCUGUUGCUGUUUGGAUUGUGCUCUUCUAUCAUUGCGGCAUACCUUGGCCUGGCCAGCCUUCUUGGAAUGUAUGGUUGCUACUUGGAGAUCCGCAUGCAGUGCGUUGUUGCUCACAUACCAGGGAGCAUUUGUCAUUGCUCUGAGAGCUUUGUUUUGGAUCGUCUGGAGCUUUGCCAUUUGCAUGUUUGAAGUCAGUGGCCCCCAGACUGGCAUGGCAUACUGCCAUAUUGGGGCAAUCAGCUGCUUAUAGAGGAGGACCUUUGGAGGUAGUGGGAGUUUGCUGUUUCUGCCGAUGAUCCAGUCGAGCUUUUUGAUCCGGGCCCUUGUUUUAGUGACAACAGCCGCUACGUGCUUAUUGAAAUUGAGCUUCGUAUCCAUCUGUAUUCCUAGGUAUGGCAUGACGGGUUUUUUGGCCAGGAGUUGCCCGGCUAACCUUGGAGCUGGAGUGUGUAGCUGCACAGCCCAUGAUAAUGCAUCAGCCAGGAGCCGCUCCACAUUUUCGUUGGCUUGUUUUGGACUUGGGGCAGAUACGAGGUAUACUGCGUCAUCAGCGUACGUUGCUAGCAUUUGGGUUGAGUUUGCGUGUCUUGGUGGCUGCGGCAUGUCGGCAGUGUAAAGGUUGUAGAGUACUGGGCCAAGUACGCUUCCUUGCGGCACUCCAGCGGUUAUGUGCUUUAGGCUUGAGGUGAUGUUGUUGCAGCAGACGACUUUGAAGCUUCUGUCUGAGAGAUAGCUGAGAAGACCCUGAUGCCAGACUCUAUCAAAGGCCUCCUGGAUAUCCAUGUACACAGCACUGCAAUGCCGCUGCGCUUCGUAGGAUCUGAGGAUGAAUUGCGUGACUCGUCCGAUUUGCUGUUCCGCUGAGUGCUGACUUCUGAAGCCAAAUUGAUGGUUUGGAAUAGCCAUGGCAAAGCUUUCUUCUUCAAAAAGUCGUUUGAGGAUGAGGCGUUCAAGGAUUUUGGAGAAGCCUGACUUUGGGAAGUGGCCGAACUGCAGAGCCGAGUUGCAUAUCAACAGCAGAUACUCGAUGGCGGAUGUUGGCAGAGAUUUAAUGACGCGAUUGUCGAUACUGUCGAAACCGGGUGCCUUUUUCGUCUUGAGCUUCUUAAUUUCCGAUUUGAGUUCCUGGAUGGUCACAGGUCUGCCGUGAUCUUUGGCGUGAAACGUGCUUCCAGGUGCUGCGCAAAGGCCUCAGCUUUUUCCUCCGUAGUUUUGCACCAAGGUUCAGCAGGAGCUUGCUGCCCUUCCGCAACGUGCCUUCUGACUGGCAGAUUUGGGAUGGGCUGUCUCUUGAUUGUGUUGCUUGAUCCGUUUACGUAUUCUGUUAGUCAGCUGAUUGAUAGUGCGUGCAAUGAGGGGGUUGGAGCACCUAUCUUUUUGGUUGAUUUUGCAGAGAAUUCUUUUGAUCUUGAUCGCUUUCAGCGUUUGCGAGUCAAGAUGGAAGCUUUGCGGUCCGUACACUGUGUGCUGGUUACUUGAGGUUUGCGAAGCCAAUUCAGCUGCAAUGUAAAUGUUCUUUUCAAGGAUAGCCACUGCAUCAUCUAUGUCGUCGCCGUUGUGAAGUUCAGUCUCCAGAUGGAUUCGCUGUUCUAGGUCUCAGGAGGAGUCUAAUAAUUUGCAUGUUGUGAUCUGAACCUAAGUCAUAUGAUGUUUCGAUGUGGAUUAAAUUGUGUCUAAUACCCUUAUAAA